GACCCCUUGGCUCAGUGGUAGAGCGUCGCAUUCCAGUGGUCGCAUGGUCGCAAUAUAUUACCCCUCGCGAAGGCCGUCCGUUCAAUCCGGGCAGGGGUCA